rnacentral:lncRNA from 1 species
UUAAACCUUCCUAACAUGACAUGGCCAUGGUAAUUUCACAUACAACCAUUACAAUAAGUUUUUCUUUCAUCUUCACCAUAUUAAUGCUAUAGCUAUCAACAUGUCAUCAAACCUCAUGUCCAUCACAAAGCAUGCAUAAUCAUAUCCACAAACCUGUCAUGAAGCAUUAUUAACUAUUUACCAAUCACUUAAUCCUGCAUUAGUUAUUAGCUCAUCAAUGAAUCUCAAUUCAAUCUCUAGGCAUACAUGAUGUAAGCCACAUCACAAGAGAUAACAACAUACAUACAUAAGAAUAAUCAUAUGGGCCCAUAACGAUAUUAGCCGACAUAGGCCAAUUUACAUGACUAAUACUACCUUAAUAACAAGCCAAUGCCUUUGGCUAAAUCAUAAUAUUACAUAUUUACAUUAAAACCCUAUACAUGCCAUAGACUAGAAUCACUUGAGUUUACUUACGUCGAUAGCGUUAACUCGACAGUGUGAUAAUAUCUCUGACGGCCUCCAACCCGAGCUAACCUGGAAACUCUAGAAAAUAUGGGAAAGAAGGGGGGUAAGCUUUCACUUAGUAAGUUCAUAUGAAAACAAUAAGCAACUCAUUAACUUGUUUUAUCAAUGUUUGCAACAUAUUCUCAAGUUCACUGCAAGCUAUCUUCCUGAGAAAUAGUCACUAAAUUAUUUAUAUCUAGAGCUACGAAACUCCAAAUUAAGUUCUAUUAAUUUUCCCUGAAACUAGACUUAUUUUCCUUUCUUCCAUUAAAUUUCCAGAAAUUUUGGUUAAUCCAAAUAGUACAGUUUAUUAGUUAAAUUCUCCCCUAUUUCAGGGUAUGACCACUCUGACCCCUAUGCACUCCAAACCGAAUUUCUCCCUGUACAAAAUUCCAACGACCAUGCCGUUUAUUUCCCAUAAAAAUAGACUCAAUAAGGAAUCUAUGAAUGUAAGGUAUAACUCUUAAUAAUUUUUGUACAAUUUUUUGUGAAUUUCUAAAGUUAUAACAGGGGAUCUCAAAUUUAUUCAGACCCUGUUUCACAAGAAUUCAAAUAUCACAUAAUAUGGAAUUCUUUUUCUUCCCCUGUUUCUUUCAUGUGAAAAUAGACUCAUUGAGAUUUAAUCCCAUAUUUUAUUCUACCUCUAACUCAUUUUCCACUAUUUUUAGUGUAUUUUCAAAGUUACACUACUGCAGUAACUCAAAUCUUUCAAGGCUAAGUUACUCAUUCAUGAUCAUUGUUCACAAAAUUAAUACAACAUCAUUUCAUCCAUCAUGGUAAGAACACAUAUUAUGCAUCAUAGAUCAUCACAUAUCAAGGCAUUCUAAUAGGCUUAAUAUACAUACUUGCACAACUCGUAACAUAACUCAAGUGUAUACUCACCAAUGACUUACCUCAUUGGGACCAUCAUCAACUCUUUCCUUGGAUUACCCGUUGAACACUUGGAAUACUAAUUGGAUACUCGGAAAAGCCUUUGCACAUAAGUGCCUCAAUUGUAUCUAAAGCUACCUCAUAUCUCAUGACAUUUCAAUGCUCACUCUCGAGCUAGUCAUCUAGACUCAUAAUUCCUAGUGACAUGUCACUCGUAUCCUAUUCUAUUCCUAAGGUUCAAACGGGAUUUUUCCUCGUCUAUUAAGGCUUUGUCUUAUCAUAUUUCUAUUAAUCACAUACACUUAAUAUCUGUACAAUUCAUGUAAUGAUAACAUUUAAAUACAUGUAUAGCAUGGUAUUGUUUACAUACAAACUUACCUCGAUACCACAAAGGUGAAAAGGACAAAAUCAUCCCUUAAUCGAUUUCUUUCCGUUCUAGGUCCAAAUCUCGAUUUUCUUGAUCUAUAAUAUCACAUUUAGCCUACCAAUCAGUCACAAUAUUCAUAUGGGUCUAAAAAUCAUAUUUUUACAAAUUUUCAUUUUGACCCCUAAACUUUUGCAUAUUUGCACUUUUGCCCCAAUGCUCGUAAAAUAAUUUUUAUCACAUUUCUUUACUCCUUGAGUCUAGAUGAACCAUUUGCAUAACUAUAGCAACUCAUAAUUUCAACUAUUUUACACAUUCCAACUCAUUUUACAACUUAGCAAUCUAUCCCUUUUUUAAGGUGUUUUCAUGCAAUUUCUUUCACAAAAGUUGUUUAUUAGACAACUAAGACUCAUAAUAUUCCAUAAAAACACAGAAAACAACACAUUUACUCUCAUGGAAAAACCCUAGACUCUUCAUCAUUUUGCAAAAUAGUCCCCUCUUAUGAAAGCUCAUGCUUUAGGGGUUCCAAAAAUGUAAAAAUCAUCAAGCAAAGACAUUAAAAUCACUUACAAGCAAGGGAAAUAUGUUGCUGAAAUUUUCCAGCUUCAAAACCCUUUCUUUGCUGCAUAUUUCGGUGAAGUAGAAGAGAAAAAUGAUAGCUUUUUCUUUUUGAUUUGUUAAUAAUAAAACU